GAGACAUCAGGAGUCAUCUCCUGAUGAUGGCAGGAGAUAAAGAAAGGAAGACAAGAUGCUGAGAUAGGGGACCUUCCAACAUCAGGAAGAGACGAAGUGGUCAGUGUGGUGUGCCAGAUACAAAGAAAAAGCCCUCCUGCACUUCAAACCGCAGAGCCCUGCCAAGUACUCUGCCCUCAUCAAUCUCCAUUCAAAUGCCAGCAAAAUGACCCUACGGAUAAAGGCAGGAAAAUUGAAAUAUGAAAACUCCACAUUAUUAAGAAUACUGUGCAGUUUCAAGUCCACUGGAGACCCUCAAACAUUAAUUGAAUGUGAGUUGAAU
rnacentral:lncRNA from 1 species